rnacentral:rRNA from 1 species
UACGAAGGGGGCUAGCGUUGCUCGGAUUGACUGGGCGUAAAGGGCGCGUAGGCGGUUCGUACAGUCAGACGUGAAAUUCCUGGGCUCAACCUGGGGGCUGCGUUUGAUACGUGCGGACUUGAGUGCGGAAGAGGGUCGUGGAAUUCCCAGUGUAGAGGUGAAAUUCGUAGAUAUUGGGAAGAACACCGGUGGCGAAGGCGGCGACCUGGGCCGAUACUGACGCUGAGGCGCGAAAGCGUGGGGAGCAAACAGG